rnacentral:rRNA from 1 species
CAGCUGCAGUCGAGAUCUUUCGCAUGGGCGAAGCCUGACGAAGCGACGCCGUGUGAGCGAAGAAGGCCUUCGGGUUGUAAAGCUCUUUCGCUAGGGAACAAGAAAGUCUGACGAAUAAUCAGAUGAUUUGAUGGUACUUGGAAAGGAAGCACCGGCUAACUC